rnacentral:misc_RNA from 1 species
AAGACCCUCCUGAAAAAGUAAAGCACAACUGUGUUUCAACAUGACAGAACAUGAGUAGCAAACUGUAGGGUUGGAUAAUCAUCCAAAAGUCCAAAUUUUAUGUCAAUGUGCAAUUAUGACCUGCAUUACAGAAAUACCCAAAUAUGUCCUUAUUUUUCAUUAUAAGUUGUAAUUAUGGCCAAAGAGCUGCUGAAGGGUGGCCAUAAUUGCAAGUUGCACCCAUUAAUAAAUGAUCAGGCUACAACUGGAUAUUUCAAUUUCAGGCCAUGGUUGCAAGAUUGCAUAAUGUUUAGGACAUUUUAGGUGAUUAGCCCAAAACUACAAAUUUAUUAAUGGAGAAAGAUGGCUAAUGAUUAUUUUUGUGAGUGCAAAGUGUACGAACACACAAAGAUCACCAAAGAAA